GACGAACGCUGGCGGCGUGCUUAACACAUGCAAGUCGAACGGAAAGGCCCUGCUUGCAGGGUACUCGAGUGUCGAACGGGUGAGUAACACGUGUGUGAUCUGCCCUGUACUUCGGGAUAAGCCUGGGAAACUGGGUCUAAUACCGGAUAUGAGCCAUUUUUCUUGUGAUUGUUGGAAAGUUUUUUCGGUGUAGGAUGAGCUCGCGGCCUAUCAGCUUGUUGGUGGGGUAAUGGCCUACCAAGGCGGCGACGGGUAGCCGGCCUGGGAGGGUGGACGGCCACAAUGGGACUGAGAUACGGCCCAGACUCCUACGGGAGGCAGCAGUGGGGAAUAUUGCACAAUGGGCGCAAGCCUGAUGCAGCGACGCCGCGUGGGGGAUGACGGCCUUCGGGUUGGAAACUCCUUUCGCUAGGGACGAAGCUGUUUGUGACGGUACCUAGAUAAGAAGCACCGGCUAACUACGUG
rnacentral:rRNA from 1 species